GACGAACGCUGGCGGCGUGCUUAACACAUGCAAGUCGAACGGAAAGGCCCUGCUUUUGUGGGGUGCUCGAGUGGCGAACGGGUGAGUAACACGUGAGUAACCUGCCCUUGACUUUGGGAUAACUUCAGGAAACUGGGGCUAAUACCGGAUAGGAGCUCCUGCUGCAUGGUGGGGGUUGGAAAGUUUCGGCGGUUGGGGAUGGACUCGCGGCUUAUCAGCUUGUUGGUGGGGUAGUGGCUUACCAAGGCUUUGACGGGUAGCCGGCCUGAGAGGGUGACCGGCCACAUUGGGACUUAGAUACGGCCCAGACUCCUACGGGAGACAGCAGUGGGGAAUAUUGCACAAUGGGCGGAAGCCUGAUGCAGCAACGCCGCGUGCGGGAUGACGGCCUUCGGGUUGUAAACCGCUUUCGCCUGUGACGAAGCGUGAGUGACGGUAAUGGGUAAAGAAGCACCGGCUAACUACGUG
rnacentral:rRNA from 1 species